rnacentral:rRNA from 1 species
GAGACCGGCGCACGGGUGCGUAACGCGUAUGCAAUCUACCUUUGCAGAGGAUAGCCAGAGAAAUUGGAUUAAUACCUCAUAGUAUAGUACUUUGGCAUCAAAGGAACUAUUAAAGUCACAACGGCAAAAGAUGAGCAUGCGUCCCAUUAGCUAGUUGGUAAGGUAACGGCUUACCAAGGCUACGAUGGGUAGGGGGUCCUGAGAGGGAGAUCCCCCACACUGGUACUGAGACACGGACCAGACUCCUACGGGAGGCAGCAGUGAGGAAUAUUGGACAAUGGGCGCAAGCCUGAUCCAGCCAUGCCGCGUGCAGGAUGACGGUCCUAUGGAUUGUAAACUGCUUUUAUACAGGAAGAAACACUCCGACGUGUCGGAGCUUGACGGUACUGUAAGAAUAAGGAUCGGCUAACUCCGUG